rnacentral:rRNA from 1 species
UACGGGGGGGGCAAGCGUUGUUCGGAAUUACUGGGCGUAAAGGGCGCGUAGGCGGCCUUCUAAGUCGGACGUGAAAUCCCUCGGCUUAACCGAGGAACUGCCAUCCAGACUGCUUUGCUUGAGGCCGGGAGAGGUGAGUGGAAUUCCUGGUGUAGCGGUGAAAUGCGCAGAUAUCAGGAGGAACACCGGUGGCGAAGGCGGGUCUCUGGGCCGAUACUGACGCUGAGGAGCGAAAGCGUGGGGAGCGAACAGG